AUGGGAGCGAUUGUGAACAAUUAAAGGAAGGGAGAAGGGUGAACGGGGGUGAGGUUAAGGUCAAGGUGUUUAGCAGGAAAUGGUAUGGGAGGUAAGCGGUGGUGGGGUAGAGUGAGUAGUAAAGGGGACGGCUGUGAGGGAUAAAAGGAGAAGACGGUGAAAGAGGAUCGACAAUGAAGGGGGUAGAUAUAUUAGAAGAGGAAGACAACGUGCAGAGUUAGGGAGAGGUUGGCUAAAAUGGCAUGAAAAGGAAAGAGAAAGGAAAAAAAUUAGGGUUUAAUUUAAAAAGGGGCACGAUCGUGUAUAUGGCUCGUGUUGGGC
rnacentral:lncRNA from 1 species